CCCACAAAUCAAUAACCCACGUACUUUGCAAAUUUUUAGCUGGACUCGCGUGCAGCUAUCACUAGCUGGUCCUGUUUCAAAAUGACGUCGUUUUGCCUUGGAGAGCCCAGCUGUAUUUUGUUUCUUCCUCUAAACGACGUCGUUCUUCCUAGCUCAUAAAUUCAAUUUUGUUUCAUAAUUAUUUUUGUUCCCAUAAUUGAGUAUAUAAAUCAUUUAAUUUGUUUCCAAUUAAAGCAUUUAAUUUCUUUCCAUUUAAUUCAGAAUUUCUCUCUCUUUUCAAUUUUACCGUAAUUUUUUUUUCUCAUUGUUCAAAUUCGAUUUUUGAUUUUCGAUUCUUUUGAAUAAAUCAAUAUUUUCGAUUCUUUUGGUUGUGAAUAACAAUGGAGUUUACUACUGAUUCUUCAUCUGGAAAUCUUCCUUCCUUAAUGGAUGAAUAAUGAUGGAGAAGUAUAAAUGUGAAGAUAAUGAUUGGUUUAAUGAUUUGUACCAAAUGAAAGAGAGGUGGUGCCCAGCAUAUUUGAAGGAUUACUUUUCUAGCGGUGUUUUGCCUUCACAAAGAAGUGAAUCAACAAAUAAUUCUUGAUGUUAUAUGAUUUCUAUCAUACAUUUCUUGAUGUUAUAUCAGACUGGAGGAACAAGGAAAAAGGUUUAGGCUUUCGGUUUUAAAGGGAUAAUAGACACUUAGCUGUUGUUAAUGUGCCUAUGCUUGUUGAUCAUGCUCGAGAGAUUUUCAUAAUUCAGAUUUAUGUGUUGUUUGAAGAGCAAUUUGCCAAAGGUAUUGCAUGCAAUCAGUAACAAAUUUUGGUAAAUUAUCCUUUUUUUUACCUACUUGGUGUGGAGGCCUACCAUUGAUCUUAUAAGGCAUGAGGUUAAGUUUAACAAAGACACAUAUUCUGUUCAAUGUACAUGUAAGUACUUUAGUGAAAUGGGUUUACUAUGUGCUCAUUCACUUCGUAUUUACAAUGUGCAUUGUGUGUGUAAGAUUCAUGAAGAGUAUAUCUUUAAAAGGUGGACAAAAUCAGCUAUGUGCAGCCAGCCUGUUGAUGAAAAAUAUAUGCAAUCUAAUAAAGGAGCACCAUUAUUAUCAAAGUUAGUUUGUUUGGUUACUUCUUGUCAAGAUUGUGCUCAAGCAAGGGUUCAAAUUGACAUGGCUUUUGAUUUGGUUAAGAAACAGUUGAGUAAAUGAUAGGAGAUAUUGAUUUUACCAACCUUGAUGAUGAUAUUUCAACAUAAAAAAUUCAAGAUCGAAGAGGAAAAAGGGAGGUAGGAAUGAGAGGCUGAAGAGUACUGUGGAAAAAGAGUGUAAUAAAGCUAAGGGUUGGAAGAAGAGAAUAGAGAAAUAUACUGAAAUGGUUACGUUUAAUUUUUAGACAUAUAGGUUUCUAAAGAUGAACAAUUUAUGAAUUCAUAUGAUCAAUUUUAUUUUUGAACAAAUUUUUUUUUGGAUUUUAUAGGAUUUUGAUAAUAAUGGUGCUCCUUUGAUUUAUUCAAAUUCUAGCAUUAAAGGAUCAAGGUUGGUUGUUUUACACAAGGCUAUUACUCAAUCAAGUGAAGGAAACAAACUUUAUAAGGAUAAGGUAAGUAUAUGAACAUUUCAAAUUUCUAUUAUGAACAUUUCAUAUUUUUAAUAUAUAGGUUGGUGAUGGAAUUGCUACUCAGUCAAAAGAUGCAACUCAGGAUAAGAAUAGUAAGCAUUUUAAGACUGGAGGUGGUAAAGAAGCAUAUUUCAACGAAGUUCUAUCAAAGUUUAAUCAAUGAAUAAUACUUUAGGAUUUCUGCCAAUUAUUGAAGUAUACUAUACUUGGUUUGAAGCAUACUAUACUUAAUUUGAAGCAUUACAUUAUCCUUCAAGAUAUUGGAAUUUGUUUUGAGCAUACAAUAAAUUUUUACUAGUGAAGAAAAUAUGUGACUAGAGUAUACUUGAUAUUCAUAUUGAUGUAAAGAACAAAGUUAUAGAUACAGUAUUAUAGCUUUUUUGGUAUCA